GGGGGGGCCUAUCGCGCGAUCGCCUAGAGUUUAUAUGGCUCAAAAUAACGCUGGCGGCGUGCCUCAAACAUGCUAGUCGAACGCGAAAGGCCCCUUCGGGGGCCGAGUAGAGUGGCGCACGGGUGAGUAACACGUAGGUAAUCUACCUCUGGGUGGGGAAUAACAGUCGGAAACGGCUGCUAAUACCGCAUAAUGCAGCGGCACCACAUGGUGACAGUUGUUAAAGCGGGGGAUCGUAAGACCUCGCGCCUAGAGAGGAGCCUGCGGCAGAUUAGCUAGUUGGCAGGGUAACGGCCUACCAAGGCUUCGAUCUGUAGCCGGCCUGAGAGGGCGGACGGCCACACUGGCACUGACAUACGGGCCAGACUCCUACGGGAGGCAGCAGUCGGGAAUUUUGGGCAAUGGGCGAAAGCCUGACCCAGCAACGCCGCGUGAAGGAUGAAGCUUCUCGGAGUGUAAACUUCAUAAGAAUGGGACGAAUAAGUGGGGGAUAAUACCCCCCAUGAUGACGGUACCAUUUGUAAGCUCCGGCUAACUCCGUGCCAGCAGCCGCGGUAAUACGGGGGGAGCAAGCGUUGUUCGGAUUUACUGGGCGUAAAGGGCGCGUAAGCGACGCAACAAGUCACUUGUGAAAUCUCCGGGCUUACCCGGAGCGGCCAGAUGAUACUGUCGUGCUAGAUACGAAAAGGGCUAUUGGAUUCACGGUGUAGGGACGAAAGAGUAUAUACCCAAAGAACACCGCUGGGAAUGC
rnacentral:rRNA from 1 species